AGUGAACGCUGGCGGUAGGCCUAACACAUGCAAGUCGAACGGCAGCACAGUAAGAGCUUGCUCUUACGGGUGGCGAGUGGCGGACGGGUGAGGAAUACAUCGGAAUCUACUUUUUCGUGGGGGAUAACGUAGGGAAACUUACGCUAAUACCGCAUACGACCUACGGGUGAAAGCAGGGGAUCUUCGGACCUUGCGCGAUUGAAUGGGCCGAUGUCGGAUUAGCUAGUUGGCGGGGUAAAGGCCCACCAAGGCGACGAUCCGUAGCUGGUCUGAGAGGAUGGUCAGCCACACUGGAACUGGGACACGGUCCAGACUCCUACGGGAGGCAGCAGUGGGGAAUAUUGGACAAUGGGCGCAAGCCUGGUCCAGCCAUACCGCGUGGGUGAAGAAGGCCUUCGGGUUGUAAAGCCCUUUUGUUGGGAAAGAAAAGCAGCAGGUUAAUACCCCGCUGUUCUGACGGUACCCAAAGAAUAAGCACCGGCUAACUUCGUG
rnacentral:rRNA from 1 species